UUUAUAAAUUAAUCCAUUACAAAUUUAAUU
rnacentral:sRNA from 1 species